GCCAGCAAUCGCGGUUAUACAAAUUAUAUAAAUAAAUUUUAUUAGUUAAUAGUUAAUUGUUUAUAAGUUAAAUAAAAAAAUUAAUUUUUAGGUAAAAUUUUUAAAUUAAUAAUUUAUUUAAUUAUUAUGUUAUAUGAAGUUAUAAAAUUUUAAAUAUAAACUAGGAUUAGAUACCCUAUUAUUUAAAUUAUAAAAUAUAAUACUAAGGUAGUAAUAGUUAUAAUCUUGAAACUUAAAAAAUUUGGCGGUAUUUUAGUCUAUUUAGAGGAACCUGUUCUAUAAUCGAUAGUCCACGAUAAAUUUUACUAAUUUUUAUGAAAUUUGUAUAUCGUCGUUAUCAGAAUAUUUUUUAAGAAUAUAAUAUUCAAAUAAUUAAAAAAAAUUAUAUUUCAGAUCAAGGUGCAGUUUAUGAAUUAGAAGAAAUGGGUUACAAUAAAUAAAUUUAUUAUGAAUAAAUUGUUGAAAUAUAAUAUUGAAAGUGGAUUUAAUAGUAAAAUAAAUUAAAUUUUUUAUUUGAUUUUAGCACUAAAAUAUGUACACAUCGCCCGUCGCUCUUUUUAUUAAAAAAAGAUAAGUCGUAACAUAGUAGAUGUACUGGAAAGUGUAUCUAGAAUGA
rnacentral:rRNA from 1 species